UACGAGGGGGGCGAGCGUUGUUCGGAAUUAUUGGGCGUAAAGGGUGCGUAGGUGGCGGGGUAAGUCUGGUGUGAAAUCCUGGGGCUCAACCCCGGAACUGCACUGGAUACUGCUUUGCUAGAGUACUGGAGAGGGAACUGGAAUUUACGGUGUAGCAGUGAAAUGCGUAGAUAUCGUAAGGAAGACCAGUGGCGAAGGCGAGUUCCUGGACAGUUACUGACACUGAGGCACGAAGGCCAGGGGAGCAAACGGG
rnacentral:rRNA from 1 species